GCUCAGGAUGAACGCUGGCGGCGUGCUUAACACAUGCAAGUCGAACGGGAAUUACUUUAUUGAAACUUCGGUCGAUUUAAUUUAAUUCUAGUGGCGGACGGGUGAGUAACGCGUGGGUAACCUGCCUUAUACAGGGGGAUAACAGUCAGAAAUGGCUGCUAAUACCGCAUAAGCGCACAGAGCUGCAUGGCUCAGUGUGAAAAACUCCGGUGGUAUAAGAUGGACCCGCGUUGGAUUAGCUUGUUGGUGGGGUAACGGCCCACCAAGGCGACGAUCCAUAGCCGGCCUGAGAGGGUGAACGGCCACAUUGGGACUGAGACACGGCCCAGACUCCUACGGGAGGCAGCAGUA
rnacentral:rRNA from 1 species